rnacentral:lncRNA from 1 species
UAUUAUUGACAACAGCAGCUGCUUUGCAGCUUCUGUCCCACUUUCACAGCUAAUUUUAUAGGCAAUGUUAUCUGUUACAGAUUUUCAAAGCUUUGAGUUGUGUAUUCUGGCGACACAUAGAUGGAUCCACAAAAGUAAUCAAGUUAAACCUACGUUGUGCUUCAAAAGUUUACUAUGAUCGUUAAAAAUGCAGUUCAAUAUGGAGCUAUGUUUAAUAGGCAAACAAUGGAUAUUCCUCAGUUGAAAGAAUGUCCACAUGUUUCCUGCAAGCAAUAGUUUAUGCCUGUCCUGUUGCCGUUAUUGUGUGGAAGCACAAUGAGCAUGUAAAUAGUUGCAACAUUGAGGCGUUUGUUUUAUUAAUUAAAAAAAUUAAUUUUUGUGCACAAGCUUACAGACCCGCACAAAAUUCAUACAUUAGCCACUUGAAUUCGACAUUUUCUUUUCAAUGCAGAAAAUUUUGUUCAAACUGGUUCACUGUGUCGACUCGGUAAAGCAUCAUGAAUUUUGCAGUACUAUGUUUGACCAUGGAGGGCACGACCUAAAGUUUCCCCGUUACCAGGUCUGUGCAAAAAUGCACAGAUGCUCAUACCAUUAACAGUGUAACAUUGAAGUGGACAGUUGGGAGAGGGUGGCAUUUAAAAAAAUGAUCACUGCUUAAGUACCAUCCAAUUCAUCCUGGCUUUUGCAUCGCUGUGAGCAUACCAUCGGUGAACAACGAACAGCAAUUCCUCUUGCAAAUCCAGCUGCAACUGACAAGAGAGUAAAUUGUAACAUGGCAAACUGUUCUGGUACUGCCACCAGGUAGAAAUUUUUGGAGGUUACUUUUGACCUGUUCAUCUAUGUGGCUUCUUUGGUUAACCAGUUUAAAAAGUUUGUCAUUGUCAACGUGAAAGUUGUGCAGUCGGCUGCCUAGUCCUAGCUUGUGCCAGAUACCAAAGACCACACAUGCGAGCAUUUUAGGCAUUUUCAGAGGUUGUUGUUGCUGCUUAGGUGCUAACUUCGGGUGCUCUUGUGUAUUAAUUCCCCGUUACUUUAUGUACACUUACAGUCACGAGAAAAUGUCUAGAGACCACAGGUGCUAUAAAAAUAUCUUUUUCUGUUCACUGCCUAGGCACGAAGGCUCAACUCAAGUUGUGUAGCCCGUGUGCACCUGUUCAACCAAUGUCAUGCAUUACAGUAAUUCCACAUUGCUCGGCUGUGCUAGAAUAAAUUUUUUUGCUGAUAACAUGGUCUCUAAACUUUUGCUCUCAGCUGUACCUUUUGUGGUGCUAGUUGCCAGAAAAAAAAUAUAUUGCGGAUCUUGGGAAUGUGUUUAAGUUACGUCAUACAGAUGUUAAAACAACCAACAGUUGAUUCAAAGUACAUGUUUACUUGAAGUGUUGCAUAUACGCGAAUGCAGGUAAUGCUGCAAGUUGUGUUUGAGGCCUGUUCAAGUUUUCUGCACAGAGUACAGAGGCACCAGGGCAUUAAGUAUAAAUCUCAAAUAUCUCUGGCAGCAAUUUUUCCCGUGUCCGUUGAUUACCAACUGCCUUUGCCGAGUUGGAGCAGCGUGCAGUGUUACUGUGCAUACGUGACAAACUUUUGGCCCUGCUGCAACCUCGCAAAAGGACAGAACUGUACAGGGUGUGAGCUUUUAUGUGAGUAACAGUGUUUUGUGCAUGUCUGUUGUACGAUGGGUGUUGCUCUCGCUGUAGCUAAGCAUUUCUUCUGUAUCCGUAUGGCAGGAAAAAUGUUGACGAGUACCUUAACAUUGUGCCUCUGAAAGAAAGCGCAUAAAUGGAAUCGGGUUGCUAAAAAAGUAACUUCACAUGAAGUUGAUGUCAAAUAUGCCCGAGUCUCUAGUGUGACCUUCUGCCAAGUUGCUUGUUCAAAAAAAGAGAUGCAUUAUAAUGGCAUUUCAGCGGAGAAUUCUUUUCACUCCUAGCAACAUUGUCACAUAUAUUAUUUUGGAAUGGAGAUAUGGCAUUACCUUUAGUUGAAACGCAGUCAUCAUUGCACACAAUACAGCAUGCACAUAAUAGAAGCUAUGCUGCUACCCGAUGUUUCUUUUUCCCUCAAUUAAGGUAUGUGAGGUGUGUCCUUGGCUUGGCUUGCAAGAAGUCUCAGAAGGAAUGCAUUAUUUCUCACAUUUAUACAAGCUCUAAUUGCAACAUGUUCAUUGUGGCUUUUGUACUAUUGGCUGCCUUUGCAGAUUGUCUGAAAAUUUGCUAGCAACCUCGGAGUUUUCGAAAUGGAGGCAGCCAGUUAAGUCAGGUGCCAAGUGACCGCACAUUUCCAUUCCAGCACCUACUAGAGCUUGGCAGUUGGUCAGCACACACCGGGCAUUCCUUCGAGUCGCAAUCUUUAUUGUAUCAAGUGUCCACUGCAGAAAAUAAAAAAUGCCAAAGAUAGAGUAAAUAUGUACCUGUUAACAUGUCCGCUGGUUCCUGAGAAGACGACUACUAUUUAUGGAGAAAAUGUGAAAUAAAGAAGCUUCGUAUCGUUCUA